GUAGGUGGCAAGCGUUGUCCGGAAUUAUUGGGCGUAAAGCGCGCGCAGGCGGUUCUUUAAGUCUGAUGUGAAAGCCCACGGCUCAACCGUGGAGGGUCAUUGGAAACUGGAGAACUUGAGUACAGAAGAGGAAAGCGGAAUUCCACGUGUAGCGGUGAAAUGCGUAGAGAUGUGGAGGAACACCAGUGGCGAAGGCGGCUUUCUGGUCUGUAACUGACGCUGAGGCGCGAAAGCGUGGGGAGCAAACAGGGAUUAGAUACCCUGGUAGUCCACGCCGUAAACGAUGAGUGCUAAGUGUUAGGGGGGUUUCCGCCCCCUUAGUGCUGCAGCUAACGCAUUAAGCACUCCGCCUGGGAAGUACGGCCGCAAGGCUG
rnacentral:rRNA from 1 species